UACGGGGGGGGCAAGCGUUGUUCGGAAUUACUGGGCGUAAAGGGCUCGUAGGCGGCCAACUAAGUCAGACGUGAAAUCCCUCGGCUUAACCGGGGAACUGCAUCUGAUACUGGAUGGCUUGAGUUCGGGAGAGGGAUGCGGAAUUCCAGGUGUAGCGGUGAAAUGCGUAGAUAUCUGGAGGAACACCGGUGGCGAAGGCGGCAUCCUGGACCCGAGAUUUGACGCUGAUGCGCGAAAGCGUGGGAGCAACAGGG
rnacentral:rRNA from 1 species